rnacentral:rRNA from 1 species
AUGAAAAUGAUGAGCUGGAACUGUCGAGGCUUGGGUCAGCCUCGGACAGUCCAAGAACUUGUGUGUCUCUCAAAAACGCAUCGACCCAAUGUUAUAUUUCUUUCUGAAACUAGACAAAAUAAAAAGUAUGUUGAGAAUUUGCGUUAUCGAUUGGGCUUGAAAUGUGUUUAUACUGUUUCUGUACAAGGAAAAGGUGGGGGCUUGGCAGUUUUUUGGGAUGAGAAUUAUUCUCUUGAACUAAAUAAGUUUGGAGAUCAUUUUAUUAACAUGUACAUCAGCAAU